rnacentral:rRNA from 1 species
UACAGAGGUCUCAAGCGUUGUUCGGAUUUAUUGGGCGUAAAGGGUGCGUAGGUGGCGCGCUAAGUCAGGUGUGAAAUUUCGGAGCUUAACUCCGAAACUGCAUUUGAUACUGGCGUGCUUGAGGACUGGAGAGGAGACUGGAAUUCAUGGUGUAGCAGUGAAAUGCGUAGAGAUCAUGAGGAAGACCAGUGGCGAAGGCGGGUCUCUGGGCCGAUACUGACGCUGAGGAGCGAAAGCGUGGGGAGCGAACAGG